GACGAACGCUGGCGGCGUGCUUAACACAUGCCAGUCGAACGGAAAGGCCUGCUUUCCCUUGUGGAUUGCGGGUACUCGAGUGGCGAACGGGUGAGUAACACGUGAGUGAUCUGCCCCCAACUUGGGUAUAAGCCUGGGAAACUGGGUCUAAUUCCCGAUAGGACUGCAGGGUGGUGCCUGUGGUGGAAAACGAUUUUCUAGUGGUUGGGGAUGAGCUCGCGGCCUAUCAGCUUGUUGGUGGGGUAAUGGCCUACCAAGGCGGCGACGGGUAGCCGGCCUGAGAGGGUGGACGGGCACAGUGGGACUGAGACACGGCCCAGAAUACUACGGGAGGCAGCAGUGGGGAAUAUUGCACAAUGGGCGGAAGCCUGAGGCAGCGACGCCGCGUGGGGGAUGACGGCCUUCGGGUUGUAAACUCCUUGCGACCGCGAGGAAGCCACCUGGUUGGAAGGGUGGUGACGGUAGUGGUAGAAGAAGCACCGGCUAACUACGUG
rnacentral:rRNA from 1 species